rnacentral:tRNA from 11 species
GGUAAAGUAAGCUAAAUGUUAAGCUUUUGGGUUCAUACCUCAAAAAUAGAAGGAUAAAAACCUCUCUUUAUC